AACGGGGGGGGUUAGUGUUAUUCAUCAUAACUGGGUGUAAAGCGUAUUUAGGUGGUUUCUAAAGUUUAAAUUAAAAUAAUCUAGGCGUAACCUAGAAAUUAAUUUUUAUACUAAGAUUCUAGAGGUCAAAGGAAGAAAGUUAUAUUCUUAAUGGAGAAGUGAUAUUCAAAGAUAUUGGGGAGAUAACCAUCAGGCGCAGGCAACUUUCUAUAAUGAUACUGACACUAAGUUACAAAAGCGUGGGGAGCAAAUCGG
rnacentral:rRNA from 1 species